rnacentral:rRNA from 1 species
AUCAGCAUGCCACGGUGAAUACGUUCCCGGGCCUUGUACACACCGCCCGUCACACCAUGAAAGCCGAUUGUACCAGAAGUCGAGAUGCCAACCCUCAGGGAGGCUACCGCCUAAGGUAUGGUUGGUGAUCGGGGUGAAGUCGUAACAAGGUAGCCGUAGGGGAACCUGCGGCUGGAUCACCUCCUUU